UGUAAUCUUAAUUUGGCUUCCGAUAAUUUUCUCCUAUAUAGUUGAUUCUUCCUUCUUGCAGUUGAUACAAAAUUCAGUGCUUUUCGCCGUUGACAGUUUGUAGCCAAGGAAGGUGAUACUGUGACACCUGGGACUAAGGUUUCUGUGGUAUCCAAGUCUUCUCCUAGUGGCACGCAUGUUGUCCCAUCAGAUGAUAAAGAUGCUCGACCACGAUCACCUCCUGCUGGUGCUCCCCAACCAACUCCUUCAACAGAGAAGAUUGACAAACUGAGUGCUUAAAGAAGAAGGUUCAACCAAAGAAAAGCCUAAAGUAACCUCAGAUGCAACCCCCAAAACCUCACCUUCAGAACCUCAGUUACCUCAUUAAGGAAAGGGAAAGAGCUGCUUUGUUUCUGGACUCCAAAACCAGCCAAUCAUCAAUGCGAUCAUCAAUGGGGAUCCGAUGUUAUAUAUAGAAACUGCAUCCGAAUCAGUACAGCUGUUGGCACAACCAAGGGCGUUGUGGUUCCACACAUCAGGAAUGGAUAGAGAAAGAGAUGAAGCAACCUUGCAAAGAAGAAGAUUCCUGAAGACGACUCCGUUGGAAAUCCGACUGAUAUUGUCCCAUUGUUUGCAAAGAAAGAGCUAUCUUUCCAUAUCUUGUGACUCCACCUAACUCCAUAGUGUCUUCCUCUUUUCUGUAAUCUGCCAUCUUGGGCAUGCACUCACUCCAUAGUGUCUCGUCCGAUGGUGUCCAUUGCUCCGACUUAUGAUCAACCGUCUUCUUCUUGCGA